UACGUAGGGUGCGAGCGUUAAUCGGAAUUACUGGGCGUAAAGCGUGCGCAGGCGGUUCGUUGUGUCGGCGGUGAAAGCCCCGGGCUUAACCUGGGAACGGCCGUUGAAACUGGCGAACUGGAGUGUGGCAGAGGGGGGUGGAAUUCCGGCGGUGUAGCAGUGAAAUGCGUAGAGAUGCGGAGGAACACCGAUGGCGAAGGCAGCCCCCUGGGCUAACACUGACGCCUCAGGCACGAAAGCGUGGGGAGCAAACAGG
rnacentral:rRNA from 1 species